CGGCGCACGGGUGCGGAACGCGUAUGGAACCUGCCCCUGUCAGGGGAAUAGCCCAGAGAAAUUUGGAUUAAUGCCCCAUGGUAUCGGGAUAUCGCAUGAUAUUCCGAUUAAAGAUUUAUCGGACAGGGAUGGCCAUGCGUACCACUAGCUGGUUGGUGAGGUAACGGCUUACCAAGGCAACGAUGGUUAGGGGCCCUGAGAGGGGGAUCCCCCACACUGGUACUGAGACACGGACCAGACUCCUACGGGAGGCAGCAGUGAGGAAUAUUGGACAAUGGGCGGGAGCCUGAUCCAGCCAUGCCGCGUGCAGGAUGACUGCCCUAUGGGUUGUAAACUGCUUUUAUACGGGAAGAAACCUAUCUACGUGUAGAUAGCUGACGGUACCGUAAGAAUAAGGACCGGCUAACUCCGUGCCAGCAGCCGCGGUAAU
rnacentral:rRNA from 1 species